rnacentral:rRNA from 1 species
ACGGGUGAGUAACGCGUGGGAAUCUGCCCAUCUCUACGGAACAACUCCGGGAAACUGGAGCUAAUACCGUAUACGUCCUUCGGGAGAAAGAUUUAUCGGAGAUGGAUGAGCCCGCGUUGGAUUAGCUAGUUGGUGGGGUAAUGGCCUACCAAGGCGACGAUCCAUAGCUGGUCUGAGAGGAUGAUCAGCCACACUGGGACUGAGACACGGCCCAGACUCCUACGGGAGGCAGCAGUGGGGAAUAUUGGACAAUGGGCGAAAGCCUGAUCCAGCCAUGCCGCGUGAGUGAUGAAGGCCCUAGGGUUGUAAAGCUCUUUCGACGGUGAAGAUAAUGACGGUAACCGUAGAAGAAGCCCCGGCUAACUUCGUGCCAGCAGCCGCGGUAAUACGAAGGGGGCUAGCGUUGUUCGGAAUUACUGGGCGUAAAGCGCACGUAGGCGGAUACUUAAGUCAGGGGUGAAAUCCCGGGGCUCAACCCCGGAACUGCCUUUGAUACUGGGUAUCUCGAGUCCGGAAGAGGUGAGUGGAAUUCCGAGUGUAGAGGUGAAAUUCGUAGA